UACCGCGUGGCGCAAUUGGCUAGCGCGUUUGGCUGUUAACCAGGAGGUUGGAAGUUCGAGCCUUCCCGCGGGAG